GAUGAACGCUGGCGGCGUGCCUAACACAUGCAAGUCGAACGAAGCAUAUUGGAAAGAGCCCUUCGGGACGAUGGAAGAUAUGACUUAGUGGCGGACGGGUGAGUAACGCGUGGGCAACCUGCCGUACACAGGGGGACAACAGCUGGAAACGGCUGCUAAUACCGCAUAAGCGCACAGCUUCGCAUGGAGCAGUGUGAAAAGCAUUAACGGUGUACGAUGGGCCCGCGUCUGAUUAGGUAGUUGGUGAGGUAACGGCCCACCAAGCCGACGAUCAGUAGCCGACCUGAGAGGGUGACCGGCCACAUUGGGACUGAGACACGGCCCAAACUCC
rnacentral:rRNA from 1 species